GGCCGUUUUCAAUAACCUAUCUAUCCCUAGUUUCGGUUACUAAAGAUAGACAAAUCUAUAUUUUUGUCCUUACUUACGUUCCAAUAACCUAUCGACGGGCAGCAGUUCCUAUCGGAUUUAUCUAUCCAUCGUCGGGAGGACGGAUAGCCUGCUAAAGAUAGAACGCUCAUACAAAUCGUGCUUACUUCCGUUUCAAUAUGAGUUUUAAGUAACUCUCCGGUAGGCGGCGCUAUCUCUAGUAUGGGCAUUCGCUUAUCUGUCAAAAUCGGCCGGUUACAUGUUUAUCUUUCGAAAGUAAAUCGCUAUAAUUUAAUAAUUGUUUCUCUUCAUAUUGGCAUAUUGUAGCAGUGAUGAUAGUGAUAUGGAAUUAUUUCAAAUGAUAAUGGAUUGUGAUGCAGAUAGUGAUAGUGAGGCCGAUAUCAUAUGGUUAGGAAAAUAAAGAUCGUCUGAAUUACAUGGCGAAGAUCAAUAAUUACGAAUUUGACUAUAGAUUUCUGAGCAAAGGUGUUGUGAAUGAAUUGAUUAAUUUAAUGAGACCAUAUUUGAGUGUAACGUCAAAAAGAUUCAAAUAUAGGAGAGGAAUUUAGAAAUAGAAAAAGAGUAUUUUGAAUGUGUAAUUUGUGUGCAAUGCAUCAUUGAUGUUUCAAAAUGUUGUUGCUUGAUGGCCUGGGUCUACUCAUGAUACAACUAUAAUUAACCAUUCCGAUUGAAAAGAUGCAUUGGUGUUUGUAAAAGAAGACUCCCUGUAUAUCAUUGAAAAGUAGAUUAAAACUAGAAAAUAUGCAAGCUGUUAUUAUAGCUGCCAUGCUGCAUAAUAUCGUCAGAAGUAUGAAUUUAGAAGAAUUAGAAUCAGAAAUUUCAGUCGCAGAUACAUUACAGGAAAAUAAUAUAAUUGUUCGUAACAAUUUUUCAAAACUUACAUCGGAAAUACAACUAUGUACUUAUAAAUAAUUGCUUCCAAAGAUAAUUUAUAAAAUAAACUCCAAAGAUAA